CUUUAGGUACAGGCGAAAUGAUGGAAUUCGUUCUCGGCGCUUGGCUUCCGGCGCCCCCGGAAGAACAGAAAGUCUUGUGCAGAAGGAAGGAAGGAACCGUUCGGAAAAUUGAGCGAGACCCACAGGAGAUCUUAAUGGGAUCUACGUAUUGUAAAUGGCGCGAAUGCGUAUUGGUAAACGUACUAGAUUAGCUGAAGUUAUCGCUCGGAUUCGUGUCGCUAAUGGAACUGAAAAAGAUGGACAGAGAAUGAGAACAAGCCAUGCACUUCCUUUUUAGCCGUUCGUAUGUUUUCCAUCCCGUCCCCCUGAUUGAAGCGCCGCCACACGAUACACCGCGAGGCGAUUGAAGAUCAUAUAUUGAAGAGAGAGACAGAGAGAGAAAGGGAGAGAGUGCUCUGGUAGCUAAAUGUAAAGAAUUAUUGCUUCCAAAACUAUGGUAAACCUUUAAAUAAAGAAGUACAAUGUGGCUAGAGCUGAGUACCUCAGUACAUGAGGGCAUAGUACAGGCAUACAAGGGAAGUACGCUAAUGUGAAGUAGCCGGUGAACGUACCGCAUAUGCAUGCAUGGCGAAGAAUGGACGACGAGGACUUUGAACAGGACUCGGAGACUUCAGCUAACAGCCAAACCCAGCACCCACAUGCACACUACUUUUCACUUGGUUUUAGAUAGGAGAAUAACUUAGGGGAGUGGCUUGGCUUACUAUACUUUCAACCAUCCCAUUUUGCACCAGAGGAAGAUUAGGCUGCUGCAACCACCUCUCAAACGUUCUGGUUUUGUUCCAACGGCAGAUGAGAGAUCCACGCUUAUAAAUGCCGAAGAGGCCCAUGUACAAAUCAUUCUCGUCGUCGGCACCGUGAUGUCUUCUCGUUUGCUUUUCAUGGUGGUGCCGUUCUCGUCCCUUCUUCCGGUGGAAGGCCUCUUGCUCAAAUGAGUAUUCCAUUUUAUCAUGACAUGGCGGUGUUUCCCUAACGUCGUCGGAAAUCAAAAAUGGGAUGCUCAUUAGGGCACGAUGCUUUGCAUGGGAAGCCUCGCUUCGGCCAUCAAGUCGCGACGUCCGCUUGUCGAGGACUUGAGGAGGUGAUCUGCCCUUGAACUUGUCGAGCAUUGUCUGCAAAACAGUUGUAUAUUUGCUGUGUGUUCGUGUGUGCACGUGACUUUCAUCCAUCUCAAACUUCAACUGUUCAUCAUCUGCUUUUCCCCAUCCCGUCUCUCUGAUUCAUGGGAAAUUUCACCGACCGCUCACUGUUUUUCCACCAUUUCUUCUUCAAUAACAAUGAUUUUUUUAAACUAGUCUACAAGAAGAGAAUCUUGGCUUCCAUCAUGCUAAAAAAUUGAAGACAUCACCUACUUUGGCAAGUCCUGACUACUCUUUGACUGUACGUGCGCAAUAAACAAUCGAUUUCUUUGAUCUUUUUCUCUAGUUAUUUUUAUGAUGUUGCUGCAAAUUCGAUUCCAAAUACUGGGUAACGGAUUCGGCGAUCAUACAGCCGAAAUGGCAAAAAAAUCAUAAAUCGGAGAAACGCAUAUGAGAUCAUGUAGCCCUUUUAUUUGCACUCCCUGGUAUGGGGUUGUGCUGAGAUGUAGUCCACUUGCAUCGCAUUUGUUUUGAACAACGAAAUGAAGCUUAUAUAUCGACAAACAUGAAAAAAAAAAUUAUGUGGGUCUAUCAUAUCUUGCACACAUAUUACACGAUUGACGAAGUGGAACUAAUCAACCGCAAUGUCAGCUUGAUAUGCAUUCCAACUAACUAUGCAUCUGAAUUUUAACUAAAAGCUCCCACCUGUAAUGAUUUGCUUGUUUCUUCACAUGUGCUAUUGUGACGGACCGGAGGUUUCAAGACCCGAGCGACAGAAGAGAUGGUCGAAAUGAUCGGCAAGACUUGAAGUGUCUUGGGCUCCAAGAUAGCAAUCUUGAAUUUAACAGAGUAGACGGUAGUUGAGGAGAGUGGAUCUCCACCGUUUGAUCAAGGGAUGAUCAACAGUAGUAAGUGGAAGGCCUCAUGUAUAAAUAGGAAUGUUCUACCCCUCAUUUAUAUCAUCCAACCUUGAAUAAUACAAGUUAUUCUCUCACAAA